rnacentral:rRNA from 1 species
AUUGAACGCUGGCGGCAGGCCUAACACAUGCAAGUCGAACGGUAACAGGAAGCAGCUUGCUGCUUUGCUGACGAGUGGCGGACGGGUGAGUAAUGUCUGGGAAACUGCCUGAUGGAGGGGGAUAACUACUGGAAACGGUAGCUAAUACCGCAUAAUGUCGCAAGACCAAAGAGGGGGACCUUCGGGCCUCUUGCCAUCGGAUGUUCCCAGAUGGGAUUAGCUAGUAGGUGGGGUAAAGGCUCACCUAGGCGACGAUCCCUAGCUGGUCUGAGAGGAUGACCAGCCACACUGGAACUGAGACACGGUCCAGACUCCUACGGGAGGCAGCAGUGGGGAAUAUUGCACAAUGGGCGCAAGCCUGAUGCAGCCAUGCCGCGUGUAUGAAGAAGGCCUUCGGGUUGUAAAGUACUUUCAGCGGGGAGGAAGGGAGUAAAGUUAAUACCUUUGCUCAUUGACGUUACCCGCAGAAGAAGCACCGGCUAACUCCGUG